CAUCAGCAUGGAGACUGAAUGGGAAUACUCACCUGGCUAUGGAGGCUGUAGGAGGAGGACAUGCUGGGAAACAGAACCCAGAUGAGCAAGUCAAGAGAGACUCCAACACAUCUGUCUAUGCCCAGUAGUUUCUUGGGUUUGAAGAACUCGCACUUUGGAGCAUCUUCAAAGCACCACCCAGCAAGCUGUGCAGUUUCUUAGAUGGCAUCUGAUACCGAAAUCUCUUCAAGGACAAAC